rnacentral:lncRNA from 1 species
CUUUGCUUUUGCUUGGUGCUGAAUUAUUGCUGCUUCUUUUCUUCCCACAAGCCCUUUAGUACGUGGUGGAGGUAUGUGGGAGAGGCUGCAGCUGGGCUCAUAAACGCUGCCCUCCAGAGUGCGCGCUGCAGGUUUAGGUGUGCUGAUUGAUCUCCUAUCUGGAGUCCAAGGCCUCUGUACCCGUCCAGCACCUUCUUUCUGCCCUCUUCGACUGUCUUCUCGCCCCUUACCCAAAUGAAUGCAGAAUGCCAUUCAGCAGACAGUGCUCGGUGUCACAGGGCCAACCUCAAUCUGCCUCAGAAGAUAUACCAUACAGAUUUCUCUCAUGGCCAUUGGGUCUUUUCCUUGUACUACCCUCCAUUAUGUGUCCUAGACACUUCUCACCUAUUGGAACUCUCUUUGGGAAGAAGGCUGAGGAUAAAGCAUGGAACAGAACAGUGGGUCUGUAAAGGGACUGGAUGUGAACUGUGAUAGCUCACUGCAACAUAAUUUUCAUCUCAGAAAAAGAAGGAAAGACAAAAUGUGUUUCUCAAACUAUUCUCUUUAAAGCAGAAGCCAUAAAUUAUAAAAGGAAACAUUGCAAU